GACGAACGCUGGCGGCGUGCCUAAUACAUGCAAGUCGAACGCAGUUGCGAACGGGUGAGUAACGCGUAGGUAACUGCCUCAUAGCGGGGGAUAACUAUUGGAAACGAUAGCUAAUACCGCAUACUGGGAGAUGGACCUGCGUUGUAUUAGGUAGUUGGUGAGGUAAAGGCUCACCAAGGCGCCGAUACAUAGCCGACCUGAGAGGGUGAACGGGCAACAUGGGACUUGGGAACGGCCCAGACUCCGACGGGGAGCAGCAAGAGGGAAUCUUCGGAAAUGGGCGGAAGGCUUACCGCGCAACGCCGGGUGAGUGAAGAAGGGUUUCGGAUUGUAAAGCUCUGUUGUGAGGGAAGCGGUAACUACACAGAAAGCGACGGCUAACUCCGUGCCAGCAGCCGCGGUAAUAC
rnacentral:rRNA from 1 species